GUCAUUUACAAAGUGCAACACUUACAAAAUCUGAGAAAUUUAUCAAACUCCAAAAUUUAUGAUUUGUUUCAAAUACAUGUUUCCUUCAACACAAUAUAUAUUCAGCAACACAAUUAUAAGUUGGCAUUGUGGAAUAAUUCUAGGAAAAAGGUCUUCAAAUAUAGCACUUGGAAAACAAUUUCAUACAAAUGUUUCAUUCCACAUAAUUAGAAUUUGUGAAGAAAUAUGUCAGACCAUGUUUUGUAUUGUGUCAUAUGAAAUUACAUUACAUUUUCACAGAAAUUUAGAGCGUAGUAUCAAAAAAAAAUAUAUUAUGCAAGUAAACUAGAGUUGGCAGAAACCCCUUCCAAGGCUUUCUAGUAAGCCCAGAAAUCAGGACCACCAGGCUUCUUUACAAGAAUUUGGUUGUACUCAGGCCUUGAAGUGAGAUCUUUGAAGAUGAUAAAGGCAAUGAGGAAGAAGAAAAGAAAGAGCAUCUCAAAUUCUGCAAAUUUUAUGAAGGCAAAGACAGCAUUAACCGUUCGAGUCAACACUGACUCAUCCCUUUUUCUGCUCCCACCAGCCCUAAUCUGCCUUCCAACAUCCCUGCCCAUCUCCGUAUCUUACUCCUUUGACUGCUGAGGUUUAAUCUAUCGAAUAACUGUAAAUAAAAACAUAUUUUCAACUUAAAACUGAAGUUUGUGAAAGACACAAAGAUUCCACAUCUGUUCAACAACAAAAUGACUCAUUGACUCCAUGAUUUAAGAUUUUCAUCCACGUCCUGGUCUCUUGGUUCCACAAGUCUCCCAUCUUCCACAGGUCCAUUAUGCACUUUCCCACUAGCAUCCAUCAUCCAAAAUUUGAAAAAGUUCGAAGCACAAUGCCCCAAUCCACAUUCAAACGAUCACAAAAUGAUGAGGAUGAGGGAUGCGGUGUCUUGAACCCUAUUAAUCACAAUAGGCAGCUUCGUUAUUCAACAGCAUUGACAUGGCCGCUAACUUGCUCUGAUUUCUGUCAUUAUGCAAUAUGCACCAACUUACCUACCCAUCCCCCUAUUUUACUCAUUAUUUUAAUUUUUAGCUGCUGUGCAUAAUUGAAUCAGUCUACUUAAUUGACUCAAAUACAUAAGGCCUCCAAGUGGUUUGUGAGCAAUCUAAAUGAUACUUAUGUCGCACUGAAUUCUUAUAGACCACUAAAGAGUAUUAAAAUCAAAAAGUUUUACCAUAGAAAUCUCAAAGAUCCACUAAAGCUCAAUACUUGGAUAUUCAGCUUUGACCCCAUAUAUAGAUGUUUUGGUAGUACUUGCUCUUAUUAAACCACAGAAUGCAAAGUGUUAUGAAAGAACUACAAACUUGAAUAUAGCACAAACGAUAGGAGGUAAAGCGUAUUUACCCUAGUAGUUAUCUAACAAAAGCCUACUUCACAUAAUUACUAGUUACUCUAUAUUUCUAUUUAUUUUUGUCAAUUAAUAGCAAUUCUACAAGAGCACAUAGAUGAUUCCAUCCCUGUUACUAGAAAAGCCUGUCGCAAACUAUGUUGUUAGGUUACCACGUCAGAACACUUGUUACAAGCAUAACUGCAAAAGCAUUCUUCAGCAUACAAUUUAGAAAUUAAAAUUAACCUUCAGUGGACAUAAACUGUCAAGUAGAAAAUGCCAUCAUCAAUUGACAAUACACAUUUGAAAGAACUCAUUGGAGCACCGCGCUUAAUCUGUGAUCCAAAAUUACUUGUAGCUCAAAAAGAAUUCUAGCUCGAUUCCAUAUAUUAUCGAUCUUUACACCCAGUUUUGCCACUAAAUUCAUAUUACUCCAACUCAGAAACCGCAGAUUAGAUUUAUCCCAAAAUUUUAAAAAUAAAAACAAAAUGGAAAAAAAACCGUAAAAUCCACAAUGUAAGUUGGAUUCAUUCUACGGAAUUCCACCAUUUAAAAAAAAAAAAAGAAGUAAAGAAAAAAAAUCACCAAAUUCAAACCCUAUAGCACGAUUGUGAUUACACAAACACAUCAAUAACAUAAUUAGAUUCAUAAGCACAAAGAUAUAUACA
rnacentral:misc_RNA from 1 species